rnacentral:lncRNA from 1 species
GGAUCACCUUGAUGGGAAUUUUCAGCAAACACCACGUGCUCAGCCUCUGCUAUGGAAACUUCAUCCUGAAGUUCUGCAAAGCAGCCAUGUUGUCAGGUCACCUGCACUGAAAUAUUCCUGUUGUAAAAGACAAAACUAAAUGCAUAUCAAGGAUUUUGGUUUUUUUCUUCUCUCUGCCGAGGAUCUCUCUCCAGUGGAAGACGUGGAAAAUUUCUGAAUGAUUUUUUUUUAUGCAAGGGUGCUGUUGAAUUGCUAACAAUGCCACGCGCUGCCACAGGAGCAGGGAGGUCUCACAUCCCUCAGGACAGGAGCAUAUCCUCACCAUACUGCUGACCAGAAGAUCCGGUCAGGUUGGGUACUUUCAAAUCUCAUUUACCAAGAUCUUUCUUUCCCUGUUGAGAAUCCAGCCCAGAACUGAUCUUUGAAGGCUUUGUACUCUUCUAUUAAGUUGCCUUUUGUGGAUAUCUGUGAACCGUGGUGGUGGACAUAAAGUGUUUUCCUGAUUUAUCACCCUUCUGCAUUGCACAAGUAUAGACGUCUGUGAUUUUGUGUGCGCAUAUAUAUAUAUAUUUAUAGAGGUCCAUGUGUUGGUCACAUGUUGAAUAUAAUUUAGGUGUGUGGAUCCUUGCCGUCUGGAAAAAUAGUCUAACAUUUAGCUGAAAAAAAGUCAGGUACCUGGAAAGCAGAAAUGGAAA